UUUGUGAAUGGGAGGGGCUGGCCUCAGUUUGACUCAACACACGGAGGGAAGGAUGAAAUGAUGCAACUUUGGGCACCCAAAAAGUCAGUUAACUAUAAAACCUAUGAACAGACGCCAGCCUACCUGUCAGCCACUGGCAGAACUCCAGCAUCGUACCCUGUGUAGAAAAGUUUGUGGAUCAGGACAGGCUUAACGCACCGACACAGCAUCGCCUCCCCAGCUGCAACGCCCAGACCCUUCCAGCCAGUGGGAGAGAGAGGUAGUCGCAGACUGCAGAGGGAGAGAGAGGGAGCAAGAGAGAAGGCACUUUGCAAGCCUCUUCCAGACCGACCUCACGCUGGGAUUCCAUAGAGAGACGGCGGGCGAGUGACAGCGAGUUGCAGCAAAAGAGAGAGAGAGACGUUGAGGCUCUGUUUGCAGUUGAGGUCUCUACCACAGCCCCUUAGGAUGACCGAGAAACAGCUCCCGGGGAUAGUGCUCCACUCACCCCUUCGCCUCCACCCACGGCUCCACCCACAGCUCUACUCACACCUCCACCCGCCUCCACCCAGGCCUCCACCAAGGCCUCCCUUGCCAGGGCCUUGAACACUGACCCUCAGUAGAAGCUAGUUUCCAAGUAAAAGGUUGUGACGGACGCACGGACAAACACACAGAACAAACAACAGGUUCCACUCCAUCAAGCCUCUUUUCUUUUCUUUCUUUCUUUCUUUCUUUCUUUCUUUCUUUCUUUCUUUCUUUCUUUCUUUCUCUCUUUCUCUCUUUCUUUCUCUCUUUCUUUCUUACUUACUUUAUUUUCCUUCAUUUCUUCCAUCCUAUUUUUCUUUCAUUCUUCCUCGAGUUCUCUCUUGAUUUUUAGGUAUUAUAUCCAUUGUCCCUUUCUCUGAACGAAAUGGAAAAGAGGACUCUAGACACAGACAGACAGGCAGACAGACAGACACAGCUACAUAUGGGGUGAAAGGGCCUUUUGAGGCGAACUGAUUUGGAAACAGUUGAAGAUCAAAAAACACUAACACGCAAUAGAGAGAUUUAGGAGGCCUGUUGUUACGGCGACACAAUGGCCUUACCUCUGUCCAUCAUUUCACUGACUACAGGGCACACUACAGAGUCUGUGUGUGUGUUUGUGUGUUGAAAAGCAGCUAUAGGCCUGGGACGAGGGGGGGUCUGUGCUUCUCAGGAUCUCCUUUCGCUUAGCCACAAACCGCCCCAUGCGUUAUUUAUCACUCUUAUUUCUCUCUCCCUUACUCAAUCAAUAUCUCGCUUACUCUCUUCCUCAUCUUCAUCAUCCUAAACAUGCUUAGAUCCACAAAGUAAGACGUGACCUACUUUGAUUGGAUUCAGAUGACUUAAUUAAUGGCGGCAGAAAGGGCUCAUCAUCUUAUAUUUCACUCUCACGUUAGAGAUGCGUUUUUAAUGUUCCAGAAAGAUGAACGUCCCGCGGUACCAUUUCCUCCUCCAUGUGUUGACAUACGUACCAUAUUGUUACAUAUUUAGUCCGUUACCGAUAUCCAUGAGCUACUUCAGAUAUAGAUCUUUAUCAUGGCGUCCUCAUGAUUAGCAAUUUCCACGUAAACAAAGAAAUUGCCUUUCCUGAAUCGGCACGAAUCAAAUGCCUCCAACCUAAACUCAAACACACAAAUCACAUGCAUCACAACCGAGGUGGAUAUCUCGGUGGAUCAAAGUCCGUUGGGUCGAUUAUACUCGAUCAUCGCCAUCAUCCUCAUCAACAACAUCAUCACCUUCAUCAUCACCAUCAUCAUCCUUUCUUCCUCUUGCCUUCUGGUGACACGUGCAUGUGUCCGUCACAUGGCAUCAUGGCAUCUGGGGCCCCAUAUGUGUGUUGGAAAAUAAAUAAAAGGAAUAUUUUGUGUAAUUUUUCCGGCCCAAUGUGUCGCCAUGACCCCCCCUCCUCCCCCCUCUCUCCAGUGAGGUCGUCGCUCUCUCCCCCAGGGGGUGAGGGGUGAAUAGGGGGGGGGGGGGGGGGGGUGAAGCCUCACGCUAUUUAUACAGGGCAGACAUCUGGGGCCCCUGCAGCCAAUGUGUGUGUGUGUGUGUGUGUGUGUGUGUGUGUGUGUGUGUGUGUGUGUGUGUGUGUGUGUGUGUGUGUGUGUGUGUGUGUGUGUGUGUGUGUGUGUAAC